rnacentral:misc_RNA from 1 species
GGUUUCCUUAUCAUGGUACUAAACUAAAGAUAUCUUCUUUCCAACAAAAAAAGAAUUAUCAAAAUCGGUACACCAAGUAAAAAGUUAUUGCGGAUUUUCAAGAAUUUCCAUCAAUUUCUCUGGGAUCCCAUCAUCAGAUCCUGGUUUCCUUAUCAUGGUACCAAACUAGGGAUAUCUCCUUGCUAACAAAAAAAGAAUUAUCAAAAUCGGUACAUUCAGUAGAAAGUUAUGCGGUAUAAUACAACGUAGGUCGACGAAAAAAGCGUCAAGUAAAAACGCAUUAUUAGAUAUAACUCGAAAAGUAGUUGUUAGAUCUCAAAUAAAUUUAAAUGGGACCAAUUGGCACAUACCAC